rnacentral:rRNA from 1 species
GACGAACGCUGGCGGCGUGCCUAAUACAUGCAAGUCGAGCGGACUUGAAGGAGUGCCUGCCCUCCUGAGAGUUAGCGGCGGACGGGUGAGUAACACGUAGGCAACCUGCCCUCAAGACUGGGAUAACUACCGGAAACGGUAGCUAAUACCGGAUAAUUUAUUACAUAGCAUUAUGUGAUAAUGAAAGACGGAGCAAUCUGUCACUUGGGGAUGGGCCUGCGGCGCAUUAGCUAGUUGGUGGGGUAACGGCCCACCAAGGCGACGAUGCGUAGCCGACCUGAGAGGGUGAACGGCCACACUGGGACUGAGACACGGCCCAGACUCCUACGGGAGGCAGCAGUAGGGAAUCUUCCGCAAUGGGCGAAAGCCUGACGGAGCAACGCCGCGUGAGUGAUGAAGGUUUUCGGAUCGUAAAGCUCUGUUGCCAAGGAAGAACGUCUCAUAGAGUAACUGCUAUGAGAGUGACGGUACUUGAGAAGAAAGCCCCGGCUAACUACGUG